rnacentral:rRNA from 1 species
UAGGGAAUCUUCGGCAAUGGGGGGAACCCUGACCGAGCAACGCCGCGUGAGUGAAGAAGGUUUUCGGAUCGUAAAGCUCUGUUGUUAAGGAAGAACGAGUGUGAGAAUGGAAAGUUCAUACUGUGACGGUACUUAACCAGAAAGGGACGGCUAACUACGUGCCAGCAGCCGCGGUAAUACGUAGGUCCCGAGCGUUGUCCGGAUUUAUUGGGCGUAAAGCGAGCGCAGGCGGUUAGAUAAGUCUGAAGUUAAAGGCAGUGGCUCAACCAUUGUAGGCUUUGGAAACUGUUUAACUUGAGUGCAGAAGGGGAGAGUGGAAUUCCAUGUGUAGCGGUGAAAUGCGUAGAUAUAUGGAGGAACACCGGUGGCGAAAGCGGCUCUCUGGUCUGUAACUGACGCUGAGGCUCGAAAGCGUGGGGAGCGAACAGGAUUAGAUACCCUGGUAGUCCACGCCGUAACGAUGAGUGCUAGGUGUUAGGUCCUUUCCGGGACUUAGUGCCGCAGCUAACGCAUUAAGCACUCCGCCUGGGGAGUACGACCGCAAGGU